UCAUUGAGGAAUGUUUGCAACCCCCACCUUAUCAACUCAUUGUACAUGUGAGGAAGAAUCGUUGGAGCCUUCUGAUGUCAAUACCUCUCUCCGGAAUUGGCUCUUACGAACCUUUUCCACAAAGUGGGCCUGAACAUUGGCUGAAACAAAUUUUGUAGCAUUAAAGGAAUGUGCAAGUGCAACCCCUCUUGACCUAGCCGAACCAGGAUGGCUACUUGAUGAGGCCCCUGUGGCACAUCAUAUCCUAGAUGAAGUCAUGAUACCUGCAAAAUGGCACACAUUAGCACAAUCCAACAAACGUUUAUGACGAAAUGCGGUUACUCAGGCUUCACAUGCAUAAGUGGCCCCAAACUACAUUCUCACUUUUAUUGGGGACUUUCCACAAACACUUUGUGGGCAUUAGGCCUUCACAACCCCCUUUAAGCUUAUUAGAGCAAGACUCACCCACAUACACUCUCCAACAUCACAAAUCAAGGAGGAUUUCACGCCACACUUAUCAACCACCAAUACCACAACAUAUGGCACCAAAAUCUCUACAUAAAAGCUAAGUACAACUACUGCAACUAAGGUAUUUACAUACAAACAAAAUUUGAAAAAAAAUGAAAAUAUAAAAAGAGAAGAAAAAAAGAAGAGAAAGAAACUAGGAUUCAUACAUGUGGUGAGGGGGAAUGAGGAAGAAGAUGGGUAGGAGAAUCGUGAGAAUGGAGCACGGGAUUUGGGCUGGGAUUUUGUUGUUUUGGGUCGACUGUGGUGAACGAAUGGGGGCUGGGGAUUUUUAUUUUGUUUUGUUUGAAUGGGGUGGACGAAGGGCUGGGAGUAAUUUAG
rnacentral:lncRNA from 1 species